rnacentral:rRNA from 1 species
UACGGAGGGGGCGAGCGUUAUUCGGAAUUAUUGGGCGUAAAGGGCGCGUAGGCGGCUUCAUAAGUCAAAGGUGAAAUCCCUCGGCUCAACUGAGGAACUGCCUUUGAAACUGUGAGGCUUGAGGCCGGGAGGGGGUAGCGGAAUCCCUGGUGUAGCGGUGAAAUGCGUAGAUAUCAGGAGGAACACCGGUGGUGUAGACGGCUUUCUGGACCGUAACUGACGCUGAGACACGAAAGCGUGGGUAGCAAACAGG